CAAUUGAAUUCGCCAAAUCGUGUACAAACAUGAACGGGGGACCCAAUUUUCGGGGCGUACGUAAGAGGGCAGCUUUCCGCCCUAGCCCGUCAGCUUACCUCGUCGGCAUGGAAAGCUUGGACAG
rnacentral:sRNA from 1 species